rnacentral:rRNA from 2 species
GUGGCGAACUGGUGAGUAACACGUGGGAAACCUGCCCACAAGCGGGGGAUAACACCUGGAAACAGAUGCUAAUACCGCAUAACAACUUGGACCGCAUGGUCCGAGUUUGAAAGAUGGCUUCGGCUAUCACUUUUGGAUGGUCCCGCGGCGUAUUAGCUAGAUGGUGGGGUAACGGCUCACCAUGGCAAUGAUACGUAGCCGACCUGAGAGGGUAAUCGGCCACAUUGGGACUGAGACACGGCCCAAACUCCUACGGGAGGCAGCAGUAGGGAAUCUUCCACAAUGGACGAAAGUCUGAUGGAGCAACGCCGCGUGAGUGAAGAAGGGUUUCGGCUCGUAAAACUCUGUUGUUAAAAAAGAACAUAUCUGAGAGUAACUGUUCAGGUAUUGACGGUAUUUAACCAGAAAGCCACGGCUAACUACGUGCCCCCAGCCGCGGUAAUACGUCCGUGCCACGCGUUGCCCGGAUUUAUUGGGCGUAAAGCGAGCUAGGCGGUUUUUUAAUUCUGAUGUGAAAGCCUCGGUCAACGAGAAGUGCAUCGGAAACUGGAACUUGAGUGCAGAAGAGGACAGGGGAACUCCAUGUGUAGCGGGGAAAUGCGUAGAUAUAUGGAAGAACACAGUGGCGAAGGCGGCUGUCUGGUCUGUAACUGACGCUGAGGCUCGAAAGUAUGGGUAGCAAACAGGAUAGAUACCCUGGUAGUCCAUACCGUAAACGAUGAAUGCUAAGUGUUGGAGGGUUUCCGCCCUUCAGUGCUGCAGCUAACGCAUUAAGCAUUCCGCCUGGGGAGUACGGCCGCAAGGCUGAAACUCAAAGGAAUUGACGGGGGCCCGCACAAGCGGUGGAGCAUGUGGUUUAAUUCGAAGCUACGCGAAGAACCUUACCAGGUCUUGACAUACUAUGCAAAUCUAAGAGAUUAGACGUUCCCUUCGGGGACAUGGAUACAGGUGGUGCAUGGUUGUCGUCAGCUCGUGUCGUGAGAUGUUGGGUUAAGUCCCGCAACGAGCGCAACCCUUAUUAUCAGUUGCCAGCAUUAAGUUGGGCACUCUGGUGAGACUGCCGGUGACAAACCGGAGGAAGGUGGGGAUGACGUCAAAUCAUCAUGCCCCUUAUGACCUGGGCUACACACGUGCUACAAUGGAUGGUACAACGAGUUGCGAACUCGCGAGAGUAAGCUAAUCUCUUAAAGCCAUUCUCAGUUCGGAUUGUAGGCUGCAACUCGCCUACAUGAAGUCGGAAUCGCUAGUAAUCGCGGAUCAGCAUGCCGCGGUGAAUACGUUCCCGGGCCUUGUACACACCGCCCGUCACACCAUGAGAGUUUGUAACACCCAAAGUCGGUGGGGUAACCUUUUAGGAACCAGCCGCCUAAGGUGGGACAGAUGAUUAGGGUGAAGUCGAACAAG